UAGGGAAUCUUCCACAAUGGACGAAAGUCUGAUGGAGCAACGCCGCGUGAGUGAAGAAGGUUUUCGGAUCGUAAAACUCUGUUGUUGGAGAAGAACGUAUUUGAUAGUAACUGAUCAGGUAGUGACGGUAUCCAACCAGAAAGCCACGGCUAACUACGUGCCAGCAGCCGCGGUAAUA
rnacentral:rRNA from 1 species